GCCUCUGGCAGCUGGACCACUGCUGCAAAGGGUGUGGGGGCACAGGGGAGACAGAAGAAGGGGAUCUGUCGGAGCCGAGGGAAGAGAGAGGACCACUGCCAGGGCUGGCCGCCCCUGAGCCAGGCGGCAGCAGCUUUUCCCAGCAGCGAGGACCUAACACGUGACGCCUCAGCAGCCCUGUCUCCAGCACCAAUGUCAUGCUGUGCGACUGGGUAGUCAGUGAGACAUCUCAGGGUCUCGAUGUCCCACCAGAUGUUUAGCAGUAGCUUUGAGCAGAUCCAUCUGCCUUCAUCAGAGGAAGAGGGAUGGCGCAGCAACAGGCAGUGCACCAGCAGAGCCCUGUGUGGAGCAGUCCCACCUGGCCUGACUUGGCUCCCUCAGCUGGGCUCCUGGAUGGUACCUGCUAGCCCAGCAGUAACAGAGCAGCCUGCCCCAUGCCCACUGCCUGUCCUGGAGCUCAGCCCCAGGCCUGAGUCCCAACCCCAUCCAUCCUGGUCAGACCCUCUGUCCAGCAGCCUGGUCAGCCGAGUCGUCACUCAGGACAGGAUGGGAUGUCAGGUUGAAUACAUUAGUGUCAGGCUGGAGGAGCAGGCGGAAGCUCCCAUUAGCCCUGGUGGUACUUCCUCUCUCCCACACUGUUCUCUCCCGGCCCUUUGCCCAUCAUCUUCUCCUUCCGACCAUCCCUGCCUCCUCCCAUCACUCCAUCACUCUGAAGGGCAAGCUUUGGCAAGAGAGAGCUGGACCUCGGUCCUUCCCAUCCUCUCCCAAGGAUUUCGGGGGUAGGCAGAGGGCACAGCAGGGAGAAGCCAGGCUGCGAAUUAAAGUUUGUGAUUGUCAGUGUCAGGAGAAGCUAAAUAACCCUGUAACUAGUAUGAAGGUGAAUUCACGGUCUGCUGCACAUGGAGAAUACGAGUGUCUGCCAGACGGGCGAGUGCGCAGCCCGG
rnacentral:lncRNA from 1 species